rfam:Pan troglodytes isolate Yerkes chimp pedigree #C0471 (Clint) chromosome 6, whole genome shotgun sequence.
GCUGGGUGCGGUGGCCCACGCCUGUAAUCCCAACACUUUGGGAGGCUGAGGCGGGUGGAUCACUUGAGGCCAGGAGUUUGAGACCAGCCUGGCCAACAUGGUGAAAACCCACCUCUA